AUUGAACGCUGGCGGCAUGCCUAACACAUGCAAGUCGAACGAGUGGCGGACGGGUGAGUAAUGUCUGUAAAACUGCCUGAUGGAGGGGGAUAACUACUGGAAACGUUAGCUAAUACCGCAUACCAUCGGAUGUUCCCAGAUGGGAUUAGCUAGUGGGUGGGGUAACGGCUCACCUAGGCGACGAUCCCUAGCUGGGCUGAGAGGAUGACCAGCCACACUGGAACUGAGACACGGUCCAGACUCCUACGGGAGGCAGCAGUGGGGAAUAUUGCACAAUGGGCGAAAGCCUGAUGCAGCCAUGCCGCGUGUAUGAAGAAGGCCUUCGGGUUGUAAAGUACUUUCAGCGAGGAGGCGUUACGCGCAGAAGAAGCACCGGCUAACUCCGUGCCAGCAGCCGCGGUAAUAC
rnacentral:rRNA from 1 species